ACAUGCCUACAACAUAAUGUUAAUGCAUUGGAUCCCAUUAGAAAUUCAUAGUUAAGUGUGCUCAAGCUAGAGUAGUACUGGGAUGGGUGACCUCCCAAGAAUUCCUAAUGUUUUACAUGCC
rnacentral:rRNA from 1 species